ACGAACGCUGGCGGCAGGCCUAACACAUGCAAGUCGAGCGAGGACUUCGGUCCUAGCGGCGGACGGGUGAGUCACGCGUGGGAACGUGCCCUUUGCUUCGGAAUAGCCCUGGGAAGCUGGGAGUAAUACCGGAUGAGCCCUUUGGGGGAAAGAUUUAUCGGCGAAGGAUCGGCCCGCGUUGGAUUAGGUAGUUGGUGGGGUAAUGGCCUACCAAGCCGACGAUCCAUAGCUGGUUUGAGAGGAUGAUCAGCCACACUGGGACUGAGACACGGCCCAGACUCCUACGGGAGGCAGCAGUGGGGAAUCUUAGACAAUGGGGGAAACCCUGAUCUAGCCAUGCCGCGUGAGCGAUGAAGGCCUUAGGGUUGUAAAGCUCUUUCAGCUGGGAAGAUAAUGACGGUACCAGCAGAAGAAGCCCCGGCUAACUCCGUG
rnacentral:rRNA from 1 species